rnacentral:rRNA from 1 species
AACGUAGGAGGCGAGCGUUAUCCGGAGUUACUGGGCGUAAAGCGCGUGUAGGUGGUCUGUUGCGUCUGCUGUGAAAUGUCCCGGCUCAACCGGGAGUAGGCGGUAGAUACGGGCAGACUAGAGGGUGACAGAGGAGCGUAGAAUUCCGGGUGUAGUGGUGAAAUGCGUAGAGAUCCGGAGGAAUACCAGUGGCGCAAGCGGCGCUCUGGGUCGAGCCUGACACUGAGACGCGAAGGCAUGGGGAGCGAACGGG